rfam:Schistosoma mansoni, Puerto Rico, WGS project CABG01000000 data, contig: 0148
AUCCAGCUGACGAGUCCCAAGUAAUACGAAACGCGCGUCCUGGAU